CAAACUGACCAAAUCGGAGAGGCAUUUAUGCUCCAUAAGCUGCUAAAUGCAGGGCAGCUCCAUCUGCAGGGGAUGGGCGGCUCCUUGCUCAAGGGAGUGGAGCACAACCUCUCUCCAGUCCCUGGCUUCCUGUGACACUAUGCGAGCGCCAGGAGAGACAUCAGGAGUGGAAGACUUUGGGGAAGCGAACUUCACCAAUACUGUCUAGGGCAGGCUGGGCCCAAGCUCAUGGCAAUCCUCCUGCCUCAGCCUCCUGAGUGCUGGGAUUACAGGUGCACACCACCACGCAUGGCUGAUAUUCUGGAAAAGGCUAAAAUACAGAGAUGGAAAACAUAUAAGAAGUCUUCAGAGGGAGCACAGCCCCGUGGACCCCAGGACUUCAAAUUUCUGGCCUUUAGACUGUGGGAGAAAAACUUCUGUUCUUUUAAUUCAG
rnacentral:lncRNA from 1 species